UCCUCACUCUAACUCAAUAGACUUCAUCUACAACAACAACUUGCAAAAUUGAGUAGUUUUUAACGGGACGUACCGACAUUCGCGCGCAAGAAGAGUGGAAUUAUGAGAUUUUAACCCUGCUUUAAGCGACAACACCAGGCAAGCAACGGUCAAGGAGGCACCACGGUAAAAAUCACCUGGAGGACUCCAUACGCCAGUACUGUGGCAGCUCAUGGGCUGGCAAUGUAAACUUUGCAAAUUUGAGGAUUCUUCAAAAGGCGAGCUGCUCAAGCAUUAUCGACUCAAGCACGGUCAAAGCUCCGAAACCUUGGAUUUCCUGAGGUUGCCUGCAACUCACUUAAGAACAAGCACCCAGAUGAUCGGUCUCCUGCAAAGAAUAUAAAGAAAGCACGGAAAGGAGAAGUUGUGUUUCUCCCACACUAUCCUGCUGGAGACAGUAAGGAACAACAAGAGCUGGACCGAAACCAACUUAUCGCUGAAUCAAAAAAGAGAGACAGCACAGUCAUCAAGGACUUGAUGUCCAGAACCUUUGCACAUCGGAAACAUGAUGUUGUCAGGCUACAGAUGAGCAUCAGUGACAUCAAGGACAGAUGGCCCGCCUUGUUUGAUGUCUCGCAAAUUAGCGCAGAGUUUCAGAGGAUCCCCACACUGAAUCUUGAGCCAAAAUUCAUGGCAAUGUUGGACAUCUACACACCUAAACUGUUGUCCUUGUUUCAAUCGAAGAAAGGUGCUGCAGGAGAGAGACAA